rnacentral:rRNA from 1 species
CCCUGAUGCAGCCAUCGCCGCGUGUGUAGAAGAAGGCCUUCGGGUUGUAAAGCACUUUCAGUAGGGAGGAAGGUAGUGUAGUUAACACCUGCAUUAUUGACGUUACCUACAGAAGAAGCACCGGCUAACUCCGUGCCAGCAGCCGACGGUAAUACGGGAGGGUGCGAGUACGUUAAUCGGUAAUUACUGGGACGUAAAGCGCAUGCAGGCGGCCUGUUAAGUCAGAUGUAGAAACGGCCCGGGGCUUAACCGUCGGAAUUUGACUAUUUAGAAACUGGCGAGGCUAGAGUCUUGUAGAGGGGGUAGAAUUUCAGGUGUAGCGGUGAAAUGCGUAGAGAUCUGAAGGAAUACCAGUGGCGAAGGCGGCCCCCUGGACAAAGACUGACGCUCAGAUGCGAAAGCGUGGGGAGCAAACAGGAUUAGAUACCCUGGUAG